GCAAAUAAACAAUCAAACAAAUUCAAAACCAAAAUAAUGUCCAGUUCGAAUUAUACAGUCUCAAGGAUAGAAAUACAAAAAUAUAAAUCCUAUUCUAGAGUAAUCCUAAACUAUGCUCCAAUGCUUAUCCGAUGUCUCGGGCCUUCAUCACGAACGUCUUCCACCAACAUAAUACAUCAGGGCAUUCCCCGGUGAAUAAAUACAAUGUGUCUUGGGGCAUUCCCUGACUCCAAAUGCGAGAAAGACAAACCAUUUCACAAACAUUCCAAACACAUAUUUAAACAUUCAACACAUUCAAUCAACACACCACUCCUAAAUUUUACCUACCCGAACCUAAACAUUUUACCUAUCCAAUGCGACCUAUCAUGAUACUAUAGAAUUUACAAACUUCAUUCCGAAUUAAGCAAAACAACAAAGAACCAACAUUAAACCAAAUUUACCCUUUUAUCAAUCUCGCAAUUCCACCCCAAAUUCUCUUCUCAACACUAAAUUUCCACAAUUCACAAUUUCUAUUUCAACAAUCCACAAUCACUUUUCAACAAAAAUUAAGCAACAAGUCAAUAUCAAAGUAGCAAUUUAUCACCAACCAUGAUCAAACAACACACGAGAUUCCAUCCAAUGCACCAUAUUCCAUCAAUAAUGAAAAAAAAAAAGGAAAAGAGUAGAAAUGGACCUCAAUCAUGAUUUUAUUUCAAAUAUAAAUCAAUCGAAAAGAUGACUCUGCAUGACGAAGAACCCCGAAUCAGCCUUGAAGAAUACCACAACUCAACUAUGAACCAACUCCAACACGAAAAUCUUCGAAACCCGAUCCAAAUACAACACCAGUGUUAAAUUGUUUAGAAUCGCUUUUAAAAAAACAUGUUGAUGGUGCUACUAUUGUUCACUUAUUUCCGAUAGUAUCUCCUAAAAAUUAGAAAGAAACGAUGAGUUAUGUUGGGUUUUCGGCACGGGAUGAGUUAACUCGAACGGAUGGUGCUAAUUUCGGAGAGAAUCUUGUUGGGAAAACUUGAGAAUCCCUUUAUCUCUGGUUUUCUCACACUCUGACCAGUGCUAUCUUUCACUCUCCUUGUUUUCUCAAUUUCUCUCUCAAUAGAUCUCUCCCACUCCUAUCUUAGUCUCUUCGGUCACCUCACUCCUCAAUUUCCCUAUACCAGUCUAUGUGUCCCCAGAUAUCAUGAGGUUGGUGAGUAUAUCCGUGAGCCAGAAGAAAUAAAAGAUGAUGAGUGGAAGAAUGAAGUAUCUUGCUGUGAUGAUAUAAGAUGGAGAAGAUGAAGUUGAUGGUGUCCCCCCUCUGUAUUGUUACUGUGAGUGUAUAUAUGAAUUGGGGAAUUCCCUGUGGGGCCC
rnacentral:lncRNA from 1 species